UAUAUAUAAAUAUGUUUCUAGAAUUAAUUAUUAUCUUUCUUAAUAGAUUUUUAUUAGUGUAAAAUUACAUUUUUGCCUUUGGUCGUCCUCUCACUUCACUCUUCUACAUAUUAUAUAUAUAUAUAUAUAUAUAUAUAUAUAUAUAUAUAUAUAAAACGCAGAAAUCAUUGUAAAACUCAAAGGUAAAAAUAUAGACAUGUCCAGCGCAAUCGUUGUAAAACUCAAAGGUAAAAAUAUAGACAUGUCCAGCGCAAUCGUUGUAAAACUCAAAGGUAAAAAUAUAGACAUGUCCAGCGCCUUUAAGCUGACUCUAACUCGACUUUAUAUUGACAACAUAAGAAUCUGCAAGUUUCCAUAUUUUAUAGACAUCCAACUAAGGCAAAAUAAGAAGAAGAUAAACUUAGGACAAGCUUAAGCUCAAAAUUAAUCUCAUGUAUUUCACAACAAGAUGAGACAACACCAAUGUGCGAUUUGAAGUCUGCCAACUUUCAGCAAAUAGUAGUGCACUUUAGUAAAUAGAAAGGACAUUUGUAUUCAUAGAGAUUUGUUCAUGUUCUAUUGUAUGUCCUGAUAUCAUGAGAAGAGCGAUAACAACUAAUAUCAAUUGGAAACACACCAAAUAGACAAAGAAGAACUACAAGUCUUUGUCUACUUUACACAUUUUCUUGAGCAAAACUAAGCAUUUUCCGUCUUCAUAACUAACUUUAGAAAAACACCAAUCCUAGACAAAACAGAGGCAUAGAAUGGAACAACCGAUAACAAAGGAACAUGCUAAUAUUUUGAAAAUUCAAAUUCAGGGGAAAUAUUUACCGUUUCCAAGACAUGGUUGAUUCAAGGAGAAAGUUUUUAAAAUUCAAAUAUUUAUCAGGCCAUGUCAAAGUGUUCAACAUACAGAUGUCUGGGCAGCGAACACAUUCCAAACUAUUUAACUUAGAAGACUUUUAGUUAAAGGAUGACCAACCAACUGAAGCUAAUACCUUGGCGUAUUAGGACGACUUUAAUGGUCUUAAUCGUAUGUAUUUAGACAAUUUUAACGAGGCAUGUUCAUGUCAUAUCUAUAAUGUGAUAUAUCUAUGAUUCGCAUAAUUACUUGAAUAGAAGCUUUAUACACUUGAUCAUACAAAGUGAAUACUACAUUCGUCGUAAUAUAUUUCAAAGAAAUCACAUGAUAGAUUUACGAGGAGAUCAUUUUGGGACAGAAUCUGGAUCUAAAAAAUGCAAACUAAAUGCUCCCUUAAAAGAAAACUCUUCAUUUUUCAACAAACAAUCAAUAAUGGGUAUAACUUCUUAAGAAAAUUUUGUAUUCAAUUAUUCACUAUAACAAAACCAUAGCGAUUAUCACAUUCCAUGCUUAAUAUUUUUAUCAUGAGAGUAGAAAUGAGACAGGGGAGAGGGAGACACACAUAAUCUGGAAAUAAGGCAGCUUGUUUAAUACAAACAUACAUUUGAAACACGCGACAAGAAUAUACAAAUAAUUGCACUUGCAUUUACAACACUAAACAAAACGAAAGAAAAUGCAAGCACGAGUAAUAGCGGAUCCCAAACUUGAACAGAGAUAAUAUUAAAAAAA